AUUGAACGCUGGCGGCAGGCUUAACACAUGCAAGUCGAGCGGGGUGAUGGUGCUUGCACUAUCACUUAGCGGCGGACGGGUGAGUAAUGCUUAGGAAUCUGCCUAUUAGUGGGGGACAACAUCUCGAAAGGGAUGCUAAUACCGCAUACGUCCUACGAGAGAAAGCAGGGGAUCACUUGUGACCUUGCGCUAAUAGAUGAGCCUAAGUCGGAUUAGCUAGUUGGUGGGGUAAAGGCCUACCAAGGCGACGAUCUGUAGCGGGUCUGAGAGGAUGAUCCGCCACACUGGGACUGAGACACGGCCCAGACUCCUACGGGAGGCAGCAGUGGGGAAUAUUGGACAAUGGGGGGAACCCUGAUCCAGCCAUGCCGCGUGUGUGAAGAAGGCCUUAUGGUUGUAAAGCACUUUAAGCGAGGAGGAGGCUCUUUUGGUUAAUACCCAAGAUGAGUGGACGUUACUCGCAGAAUAAGCACCGGCUAACCCUGUGCCAGCAGCCGCCGUAA
rnacentral:rRNA from 1 species